UCACUAAAGAUGAUUUUGUUGAAGAAUGC
rnacentral:piRNA from 1 species